AUAAAUCUCAUUUAUAUAUGUUUGGUUCUAAUUGCUAUCGAGAUCUGAUUGUUAGCGGUGUUAAAUUAUAUGAAAUAAUUAUUAUUUUUAGAAAUUUAAACUAGUAAAAAACUGUGUUAAUAUUUUAUAUUUAAUAUUUUUUUUUCAUACUUAGACCGGAGACUUUUUGGUAAAUUGAAUGAAAGAAAAUAAAUUAUAUUAGGAGCAAGAUUUGAACUUCAAAUUUCUUGUUCUGAUAUUCUAUUAAAUUAUAUAAAAUAAUAAUUAUUUUUU
rnacentral:lncRNA from 1 species